GUGGGGGAUAUUGCACAAUGGGGGAAACCCUGAUGCAGCGACGCCGCGUGAAGGAAGACGUACUUCGGUAUGUAAACUUCUAUCAGCAGGGAAGAAGAUGACGGUACCUGACUAAGAAGCCCCGGCUAACUACGUGCCAGCAGCCGCGGUAAUACGUAGGGGGCAAGCGUUAUCCGGAUUUACUGGGUGUAAAGGGAGCGUAGACGGUGAAGCAAGUCUGAUGUGAAAACCCGGGGCUCAACUCCGGGAUUGCAUUGGAAACUGUUUUACUUGAGUGCUGGAGAGGCAAGCGGAAUUCCUGGCGUAGCGGUGAAAUGCGUAGAUAUCAGGAAGAACACCGGUGGCGAAGGCGGCUUGCUGGACAGUAACUGACGUUGAGGCUCGAAAGCGUGGGGAGCAAACAGGAUUAGAAACCCUUGUAGUCC
rnacentral:rRNA from 1 species